CCCUUAGAUGUUCUGGGCCGCACGCGCGCUACACUGACGAAGUCAGCGAGCAUGUCCUACGCCGACAGGUGCGGGGAAUCUUGUCAAACUUCGUCGUGAUGGGGAUUGAUUAUUGAAAUUCUUGAUCAUCAACGAGGAAUUCCUAGUAAGCGCAAGUCAGCAGCUUGCGUUGAUUACGUUCCUGCCCUUUGUACACACCGCCCGUCGCUACUACCGAUUGAAUGGUUUAGUGAGAUCUUCGGAUUGGCGCCACUGCGGCUCAGCAAUGGGCUCGGUGGAUGCCGAAAAGUUGAUCAAACUUGAUCAUUUAGAGGAAGUAAAAGUCGUAACA
rnacentral:rRNA from 1 species